rnacentral:rRNA from 1 species
UGGUGCCCGCAGCCGCGGUAAUUCCAGCUCCAAUAGCGUAUAUUAAAGUUGUUGUGGUUAAAAAGCUCGUAGUUGAACCUUGGGCCUGGCUGGCCGGUCCGCCUCACCGCGUGUACUGGUCCGGCCGGGCCUUUCCCUCUGUGGAACCCCAUGCCCUUCACUGGGUGUGGCGGGGAAACAGGACUUUUACUGUGAAGAAAUUAGAGUGCUCCAGGCAGGCCUAUGCUCGAAUACAUUAGCAUGGAAUAAUAGAAUAGGACGUGUGGUUCUAUUUUGUUGGUUUCUAGGACCGCCGUAAUGAUUAAUAGGGACAGUCGGGGGCAUCAGUAUUCAAUUGUCAGAGGUGAAAUUCUUGGAUUUAUUGAAGACUAACUACUGUGAAAGCAUUUGCCAAGGAUGUUUUCAUUAAUCAGGAACGAAAGUUAGGGGAUCGAAGACGAUCAGAUACCGUCGUAGUCUUAACCAUAAACUAUGCCGACUAGGGA